rnacentral:misc_RNA from 1 species
AAAGUCGUAACAAGGUUUCCGUAGGUGAACCUGCGGAAGGAUCAUUAUCGAAUUUAAAGCUUGGUUGAGCUGUCGCUUCGGCGUGCGUGCUCGCCUCGCCGUCCAUUCUCAACACCUGUGCACACUCAAGUCUCUUUUCUCCGGCCGGUAUCAGCUCUUCAUCGAGUUGAGAAAGUUUGGGAGAGGAAGGCUGCCUUUUAACACACCCUUCUUUUAAAAUGUCCAUGAACGUCAAAUGUAGGCUCGCCUUAAAAACGUGAUGCUGAAAUUAAAAUUAAUACAACUUUUAACAACGGAUCUCUUGGCUCUC